CUGCGGAGGGAUCAUUACACAAAUAUGAAGGCGGGCUGGAACCUCUCGGGGUUACAGCCUUGCUGAAUUAUUCACCCUUGUCUUUUGCGUACUUCUUGUUUCCUUGGUGGGUUCGCCCACCACUAGGACAAACAUAAACCUUUUGUAAUUGCAAUCAGCGUCAGUAACAAAUUAAUAAUUACAACUUUCAACAACGGAUCUCUUGGUUCUGGCAUCGAUGAAGAACGCAGCGAAAUGCGAUAAGUAGUGUGAAUUGCAGAAUUCAGUGAAUCAUCGAAUCUUUGAACGCACAUUGCGCCCUUUGGUAUUCCAAAGGGCAUGCCUGUUCGAGCGUCAUUUGUACCCUCAAGCUUUGCUUGGUGUUGGGCGUCUUGUCUCUAGCUUUGCUGGAGACUCGCCUUAAAGUAAUUGGCAGCCGGCCUACUGGUUUCGGAGCGCAGCACAAGUCGCACUCUCUAUCAGCAAAGGUCUAGCAUCCAUUAAGCCUUUUUUUCAACUUUUGACCUCGGAUCAGGUAGGGAUACCCGCUGAACUUAAGCAUAUCAAUAAGCGGAGGAAAAGAAACCAACAGGGAUUGCCCUAGUAACGGCGAGUGAAGCGGCAACAGCUCAAUUUGAAAUCUGGCUCUUUUAGAGUCCGAGUUGUAAUUUGCAGAGGGCGCUUUGGCUUUGGCAGCGGUCCAAGUUCCUUGGAACAGGACGUC
rnacentral:rRNA from 1 species